UACGUAGGGGGCAAGCGUUGUCCGGAUUUAUUGGGCGUAAAGAGCGUGUAGGCGGCCAGACAGGUCCGUUGUGAAAACUCGAGGCUCAACCUCGAGAUGCCGAUGGAAACCGUCUGGCUAGAGUCCGGAAGAGGAGAGUGGAAUUCCCGGUGUAGCGGUGAAAUGCGCAGAUAUCGGGAAGAACACCCGUGGCGAAGGCGGCUCUCUGGGACGGUACUGACGCUGAGACGCGAAAGCGUGGGGAGCGAACAGG
rnacentral:rRNA from 1 species